CUGCAUUCUCACCGCUGUCACUCUCGAAGCCCAACGAUGAGGACGAGGUGGCCAGAGCCCCUGUGGAUGUGGUGGUAUCAUCCAUCUUGGAAAGGCCACCUUCUUCUGCUUUGUCCACCGGGGAGGAGGAGAAGGAUGAAGUCUGGCCUGCACAUUCAGCUCAGGAGAGGCAGCUUCCAUUCUGAGCGCUCGCCUGGGUUUCAGCAACAAGAAGAGACUGUGCUAGGAGUCUGAAUGCCAUCGGCCACGGAAGGAGCAGCAUCUGCAGGUUGACCCUGGGACUCCCCGAAAUGAAAGGAAAGCAUGUGCUGUUUCUGGUGAAGCCUUGUCCCUUUCCUGGAUGGGGUAAGAGUGGGUCACGUCAUUCCAGAAAUAUUUUUAGUGUCUAUUCCCUAGUCAUACUGAAACCACACUUAAGGGUAGAGAGAAGAGGCUCUGAGAUGAAGAGAGAAUGUUGGGGGGUGGAGGAGGCACGUGGGUUCUAAUUGAAGUCAACCAAAUGUCCUAUGUAAUCUAUUACAAUGAUGUCUAGCAAGUAUGAAAUUAUUCUUUACUCACUGCCAUCUUUUACAUGAUUAAAUGUUUUUUUCCCCCUUGUUCUUAAAUAAAAUCCAAAUUCAGGAUUGCAUUUCAAAUCAAUUAAGGACACUCCAGAAGGACUUCAAAAUCUCCCUUGGACAUAUGGUAGCUUUAUGUUUGUCUCAAAAUCUAUACAUUUUCUUUCUCUUUCAUCUCAAAUCAGUUGAGUUCUGGUAAUACAACUUUUCAUAGAGUAAAAUACGCUAGCCCUCCUCCCCCAAAGUUCCACUUUAUGAAACAUAAUCUGUUUAAAAACAGGAAGUAUUCCUUCUAGAAUCCUUACUGUGUUGACUUGAAGUAUAAAAGAGCAAUUUUCAAAGACUUAAAACUCAACACUUUAAAUAAACUUUUUAAUUAUAGUCACUAAAAAAGGAGCACAUGAGUCAAAACUGACACAAAUUCAAAUCCCUACAAUCUCAAAAAAGUUCCCUAAACUUAUAAAACCAUGGCAAGACAAUAAACCUGCAAUUAAAUAUAGCCUGAUCUGCAGCCUGACGACUCGGUUACACUGGCUGCAUUCCAGACCUGCAGGGCACCGAGUCAAAAGGCACGAAAGAACAACGAAUACACUUACCCUUU